rnacentral:tRNA from 1 species
UCCCUAGAGGACUAGUGGUUAGGCCACAGCGCUCUCACCUCCGCGGCCCGGGUUCGAUUCCCGGCCAGGUCU